rnacentral:misc_RNA from 1 species
AAGAAUUUCACCUAUAUGAUACAGACAUUUCCAUUCUCAUAACAUUACAAGUGAACAGAAUAGAUAGUUUAUGUGAAACUCUGCAGCAAUUCUCAGUACUCACUUUUCGAUGCCCUGCUGCAUAUAUUGUAUCAAAUCAUACCCAGCAGUCGUCCACUUAUUGUAUGCGUCACUACAUGCACGAAUCAUGUAAUUGGCUGCUUCACGUUCACUCAUCUCAGGA